CCUACGGGAGGGCAGCAGUGGGGGAAGUUUUUGGACAAUGGGCGCAAGCCUGAUCCAGCAAUGCCGCGUGAGUGAAGAAGGCCUUCGGGUUGUAAAGCUCUUUUGUCAGGGAAGAAACGGUGGAGGCUAAUAUCCUUUGCUAAUGACGGUACCUGAAGAAUAAGCACCGGCUAACUACGUGCCAGCAGCCGCGGUAAUACGUAGGGUGCAAGCGUUAAUCGGGAAUUACUGGGCGUAAAGCGUGCGCAGGCGGUUUUGUAAAGUUUGUCGUGAAAUCCCCGGGCUCAACCUGGGAAUGGCGAUGAAGACUGCAAGGCUAGAAUCUGGCAGAGGGGGGGUUAGAAUUCCACGUGUAGCAGUGAAAUGCGUAGAGAUGUGGAGGAACACCGGAUGGCGAAGGCAGCCCCCUGGGUCAAGAUUGACGCUCAUGCACGAAAGCGUGGGGAGCAAACAGGAUUAGGAUACCCUGGUAGUCACGGCCCUAAACGAUGUCUACUAGUUGUCGGGUUUUAAUUAACUUGGUUAACGCAGCUAACGCGUGAACGUGACCGCCUGGGGAGUCGGUGCAAGUNUUAAACGUNAAAGUUGAAUUGACCGGNUUGNGAGNGCGAGACGACGACGAGGAGAGG
rnacentral:rRNA from 1 species